rnacentral:tmRNA from 1 species
GGGGUCGACCGGUUUUGACAGCAGGUCGUAUUUGAUGGUAAGCACGCCGAGCGACGAAACCCUGCUCGUAAAUCUCGAUUUCAAACAUUUAAACGGCGAGUCUAACUACGCUCUUGCUGCCUAAUCCGAAUCACAGUAGGAUUGAGCCAUGUCCCGACCAGGUCGGGAGGCGAGAUUUCUCAGGAAAGCCCUGACCGGCGGCGUUCCGUGUUGAGAAACCGAAAAAGUCGGAAUAAGAAUCGUGGUGCUUCGGAGCGAUUCUGAAAAUUAAGAAGCUAAGUGUGUAGCAGGUAGUUUUCGACCGGCUGCCCAACGAAAACCAAUUGAAAACUAAGCGUGUAGAAAGCUCUUGAAUAGCUUGUUUGGACGAGAGUUCGAUUCUCUCCGACUCCACAA